rnacentral:lncRNA from 1 species
CUUAUCUUGUUUAUACGUGAGUUCCUUUGUUUGAUGUCGAUGAGCUACGAGGUUAGCUCAACUAUGCAUGGUUUCCUUUGGCGAGGUCAGCUGGGUUCUUAACAUUGCCGAGCUGCUUUGGGGUGUAGAAAAUCUUCUUGCCCCCCUACCUGGCGCGCCAUUUGUUGAACGUGGAUUCGCACGGGUCAAACAAGUCAACUUAUGUUGGAGAGUUUGGAGAUUUUCUGUUAAAUUAAGCUUAGGUCGACAACGAAAUAAGAACAAAGUUUAAGACAUGGUGAGGUGAGUUUGACGAGGUGGCGAGGUGAGUUUGACGAGGUGGCGAGGUGAGGUGAGUUUGACGAGGUGGCGAGGUGAGGUGAGUUUGGCGAGGUGACGAGGUGAGGUGAGCUUGACGAGGUGAUGAGGUGAGAUCAGCUUGACGAGGUGAUGAGGUGAGAUCAGUUUGACGAGGUGAUGAGGUGAGAUCAGUUUGACGAGGUGAUGAGGUGAGAUCAGUUUGACGAGGUGGCAGAGAAUUUGGCGAGGUGAUGGUGAAUUUGGCGAAGUGGAGUGAUUUUGGCGAGGUGAUGAUGAUUUUGGCGAGUGAUGGUGAAUUUGGCAAGGUAGGAGUGAUUUUGGCGAGUGAUGUGAUUUUGGCGAGGUGAGAGUGAUUUUGGCGAG